UAUGUACGCGUAAUUUGUAUUAAAGUGUAACAAGAAAUCACAUUUUAUAUCCGAAUGAUAAGAAACUUACCAUGUUAUACAGGAUGUCCACAAAGGAUAACGACUUUAUAAAUAAGCGUUCUAGAUGUGAAUAUAUUGACGGCCAACUACGCGGAGGUUCAAGGCAACGAAAUCUUAUUAGACCUCUUCUCAAUUUUUUACCACAACACUUAUCGGAACUUUUGUUGAGAAAUUAAUAAGAAAUACCUGAUGGUAUUUAGCAGACAUCCGCAAGAGGUUUUAUUCAAUUGCUUUGCAUUAACUUGAUUUAAGGUUUGGCAUUAGUACUGUUAAACACAUUGUUGUCUCAAUGAAUCUCAAAUGACCAUUUGAACGAAAAACAAAAUUCAGCCAAGGCCAAAGUUGCAAAGUGAGAUGCCGCAAACUUCUUCUAGAAGAUUGAAUAUUGAUGAAAUUCUGCAGUAUUUGAUGUGGAAUAAGAUUUCUAGAAAACUUGUAGGGAUAAAUAAAAAAACAAAGCUUUGCCAUCUUCAAUAAAAUGCCAUAAUGGUUUUGUUCGAAUUAUUUCUAAAUGAUUGAACUGUAAAAGAACGAUUUUUGUUAAUUAUGCUGAAAUAUAUCGAAUUAAAUCUAUCAUUUAAUUUUUCUAUUUUUUUAUUUUGUUUUUAUUUACACCAACACCAAACAACCUAUAAGCAUAGAAUGGUC